GGAUCUCUCUUUUAAAGCAGGGGCGCUCAAACGUUCCGCGAGGGCGGCCUCUUGCUUUCGCUGCUCGGGAAUUCCAGGCUCGCUUUCCUCCGCCGCUCGGGCUCCUCCCCGUUCCUCUUUCUUCGAAAAGGCGCCUUUUUGCAGAGUCCCCGGCUGUUCUCAGAACUGAGACAGCCCCCCCCGACGUAAACGGGGCGGCCCCAACCCCGAGAGGGAGGGAGGGAGGACGGGGGCCGGGCGCCCUGCCCUCGCCCUAGAUUUCCGAGGGUUCGCGCCUCCUCCGCGAUUUGGCCGGCGAGGAGCCUCCCUCGGAAGGCGCUUCCCUGGCAGGACGAUGUCUCUGGAGGACCCGUUCUUCGUGGUGAAAGGGGAAGUUCAGAAAGCCGUGAAUACGGCGCAUGGGCUCUAUAACCGCUGGUGCCAACUGCUUGAGGAGUCUCACAUCAUCAGUAAAGAAGAGUUUGACUGGACGACAAAUGAACUACGGAACAGCUUGCGCAGUAUUGAUUGGGACUUGGAGGACCUGGAGGAAACCAUUUGCAUUGUGGAAUCAAAUCCACACAAGUUCAGAAUUGAGUUAUCUGAGGUGGCGACACGGCGUUCUUUCAUCACAGAGAUGCGGGAAUCAGUUAAGGAAAUGAGAGAUCAUAUAGCCAGUCCAGCAGCACAGGCCUUAAUAAACAGGAAGAACCGAGAGGCACUGAUGGGGGACAGGGAUCACUUUGAGCUAUUGGGUGUAGAGAAGUUGUCCACACCCAACUCACACACUUUGGAACAGCAACAGUUGCACCAGAAGAAUGCUAGAAGACUUUGCCCACGAGAUGGACGAUACUCACAGCCGCAUGGAAGGAGUGUUAAAGAAGAUGACCAAAGUCUCCCACGUGGGCAGUGGACGGCGUCAGUGGUGCAUCAUUGGCCUGUUGCUCAUCAUUGUUGUGGUGGCACUGAUUCUGCUCUUUGCUCACUGAUCAAAUGGCAGAACAGAUGGAGGGAAAGGUCAGGCAUGCCAUUCCUGGCCAAGUGGAAUGUCCGGAACCACUGCCGCUAUAGCCUUGGAUCUUGCACAGGAGAGGAGUGAAGAGGAUGAUGGGAUAAGAGACGAAGUUGGUUCUGUGGAAGAGACUUUGGAUUUUAUCUGGACUGUUUUCUCUUGCAUGACCUGCCAGAAGCUGCAGAUCUGGGAAAAGGAAGAACAGGAUUCCAGACGUUACUAGUUUUUACAGUGGAGAAGCUGCAGAAUUCCCUUUUGAACUUUUGACUAUGGAUACUGGGAUGAAAAGUACUCACCGUUGUCUGUGCCUUUGCUUGUGUUCUUUGUUACCAACACUGCAAGCAGAAACAUAAAGGCAAGUCUGCUUUCCAGAGCAGGCGUUUCCUCCCGUUGCUAAAAGCCUGGGACAGGAGUGGCCAAAGUGCAGCUCUGCAUUGUUGGAUUGCAGUUGCCAAACACACACUAUGGGAUCUGGUGGAUAGUGCUGAUGGGAGAUGCAGUUCAAUCUUUAGAGGGAUGAAGUUUGUCUAUAGCCUGGCCUGGGGGGUGGGAUAAGACUCCCCACACUAUCCCUGCUGAGUAAUCUCAUUGCUGGAAGGGUCCCUAUUCUUCAUACUGACUCUGCAAAUGGGAGCAAGUUGGUUUCCUUUUAAAUGUGUCUGCUGGUCGACCACAAAUUGACUAAGCUGUUGGUUGUGAGUCACAAUGACCAGAUAGGAAAAAUAAAUAAAUCUCAGCCAGUAACGAAAAGGAACUGGUACCUCCACCAAAGCUAUUAGGCAGGAAGAGACAAAGGUCCUAGGAUAUAAAAGUGAGUCAUUCAAAGGGAACUGGACUCCGACCUAACAAACAAAGAGUCUUUCCUAAACAGAACUAAGAAAUGUACUAUUCAUGCCCUUGAAAAAGGCUAAGCUGAAACACAUCAGGCUUCUAAUUUGGAAUAAACUAGAUACUAUAAUAUUUACAUCCUGGGACCUUAAUCAUCUCAGCUGUUACCAGAGGGGUGUGAACUGGAGAGGUCUAUUUUGCUUCUUCAGGAAUGGAAUUACUAUGGGCUGAGACUGCUGAUUGUGCUAAGCUGCCUCAUCAAGAAAUUCAUGUUGUUCAAUGAACCUGGGAAGAGUUCCCAAAGGAACCAGAUGUGAGCAACUCUCCAGAAUCUAGGAGCAAAACUUGAGAAUCCCAUAAUCCAAAGAGAGGCCUCUGCAGUGUGCUUCAGGAUUCAAAUGGCGCUGGUAUUUUGGGGCUGCUGCAUAGGGCUUGCAAAUUUGUGAACACACCACAUCAAUCCCCACCUCAUGUGGGGUCUACGGCUUUGCCAACCAAACUCUGCCAGUGCUUAAAGAAAGAUGUUACUGUCACUUGUGUCCAAAGUGAGGCUCACAGCCUUGUGUGAACACGAGAGGUGGCUGUAGAACAGCUCAGCUAUUGUAUGCACUUGGAAGCCAUUCUGAUUAUACUGUAGAGUAUUAUAAAGCAGGGGCAGGGAGACAAGGUUCACAUGCUUGUAGGUUCUUCUUGUUUUUAUUGAAACCUCAAAUCCACCAGCUGCCCCAGGGUGGGCAAUGUAUGGCCUGUUGCCCAUUUUUUGAGGACCAUGACCCAUCACCUCUAAGCCAUCCUGUCAAAAAGCAGAAUUGCUUAGUAGCAGUCCCUCUCCAAAGGAAGGCACAGGGACCUUGCUUUACUGCAUGCAGGGGAAAACAGCUCUACAGAUGUUUUUGGACUGUAACACCCAUAGUUCCUCGGCAGUAUAGCCAAGAGAGAGGCAAUCCAACAGCAUCUGAAGGGGCAUGGAUUUUCUGUCCUUGUUCAGCGUGCUUUACGCGUGCUGCUUCCCCAAACCCCACAGCAUCAGAAUUGAGAAUCUAGUCAUUUCCAAUUUUGAGAAGUGGAAGACAUUGCUUACUAGUUGUAGGGUGACAAAAUGUGUCCUUGGACUGAUUAAAUUGUCCAUCCUGAUCUAGAGUUUGGUGGAAAAGGUCUAUGCUUAGAACUGAAAGCUUGAAGCCAACUGAUAGUCCUAAUCAGUGUACCCACUGAACCAUGAGAUGUAUCUAAGUACUGACUUACCAUUUAGUCAUUUUCCGUUGGGACUGCAAACUAGAUUUAAGCCAAAGAAAUCUGAGUGCUGGAAUUUGUUUGGAUAACAAAACUGAACAAUGCUACCAAUCCACCUGCAAAAAAAACCCAUUCCAGAUCACAGCAGGUUUUUACCUCGAUUCAGCAGUGUAAUCUGGUGAGCAACUGGGACUCAGGUAUGUGUAUGAAAUAAAUCAGUUUGUAUAUUUUUAUAUGACCUUGAGACAGAAAUCCUUGCCACUGUUCUGUAAAUCAUGCCCCUCUCCACUCUUAUUAUUAGAUGCCAAAACAACUCUUCUAAAUACUUUUGUAUAGAUAUAAUGAAGAUUUUAUACUUAACAUGCUAACUAUAUGUCUAUGCAGUAAAGAUUUUAUACUUAAUGCA